GUGUGGUAGUGUAGUGGUUUGAGUGCGGGAUUCUAACUCUAGAGAUCCGGGUUCGAAUCCUGCCUCAGCCA